AAUAUUUUAGCUGCGUCACACGUACUACCAAUGACAGAAUAUUGACAUACUGUAUGUUCCUUACACGUACAUAUAUAAGUAUAUAACACUGCACAUUAUUUAUACGUCCUUAUAAUAUUUGUGAUUUUUCUGUUUGUUCUGAUAGAUUCGAACCAGAAGGAUGUGUUGCAGUUUCUAUUACAUAUCUGAUUACCUGGAGUAAUCGUUGGGUGUUUGCUAUUUAUUGGAGUUGUAUAUUGCAAUUAUACAUUUGGAAAGCAAGAGAAGAAACAAGAACAAGACAUUCGUCACGGUGCUUCCUAUGGUGGUGAUGUAGAAAACAGAGUUGGCGAUAUUCAUAAUGAAGUGGACCAUACAUAUGGAAAUCCUUUGCACUUAAGCGAGGAAGAGUCAUGCUAUAGUACACUAACACUGAGAGUAAACCGUGGGUCUCUUUACACGUCAAACACUGCAGAAAACUCGGAGACAGUCUCCAUGGAUGACAAUCCUUAUGGUUUUGCUUUCAAUAGAAGAGAUGAGGAAAAGAUGCUAGACAAAAACACCAAUAGUUUCAACGGGAGGAAUGAUGCUUCGGGAAAUGAAAUGAUGCAAGGAAUUAGUGAAGACAGUUGCUAUGCUUAUAAUUCCCUUUUACGUUACUACUCAAUUCGUCGGUUUGACUUAACGCCAGAUGACGCAAAUGUACACUUGUGUUGUCUGAAACUGAAAUGGACAACAAAUCAUAUCAACAGAAACUGGUAACUUCGAAAAGACAAAGGGAAGUAACUCUUGGGGAACUCGGAACUUCCGUAUUAAACACCACGAGUGAACAAUAGUGAAAAACCUGUAAAAAUUACUAUAAUGAGUGGUUUUCAAAGGACAUUAUUACUUCACAAGUUGGCACAACAUUAUCUUGCACAUCAAGUACCCAAUUAUGAAAACAUCUAAACACUUUUAAAAGUACUUGUUUCACCCGGCAAGUUACAAAUUGUCAAAUUUACAUUUUAAACAAAACAAUCCUUUCAAAAGCAAUUCAUUUAUCCAGGCUCCGAACAACAUACAGUUAUUUGAGAUAUAAAGUGUAUUCUCAUCACUAUACUUUUUGUGUUAGACUUAUGAAUAAGCUGAAGUACGGUUGUAAUAUCCAAGAAUGUAAAAGAUGUUGAAGACUGGUUUUUUAUUCCAAGUUCACAGGAAUAUAUCACAUUGAGUAUGAAUGAAAAUGAGUAUUUUUAAUAGAUAAAACGCCGUCGAUAUAUUGAAAGAAUAAAAGGUAACACAAAAUUAAAACGUUAGCGCUUAUUUAGUGAUUUCUGUCAAAAAGAUUGAAAUGUGCAUCCAUUGCAAAAAGCAAUGAACAGGAAUUGCUUAACGACAUCAAAGAAUACACCCGAAGAUUAAGAUUAGCUGAAUUGUUUCAUAGUGAAGGUAGCGAUGAUGAUAUUCCUGAAGAAAAGGAUCUUCUCCGAAAUAAAUCUAAGUUCAACCCUAAGAAAGGCCGGAACAACACAUUAGACGCGGUGUGUGAAACUCGAAAAACUUUACCACUUGAUUCCACAAAUAGUGACAAAUUAAAACAGAAUUUAACCAUAGGUAAGGAGAAAGCCUUG